rnacentral:rRNA from 1 species
AGAGUUUGAUCAUGGCUCAGGAUGAACGCUAGCGGCAGGCUUAACACAUGCAAGUCGAGGGGCAGCGCGGGAUAGCAAUAUCCUGGCGGCGACCGGCGGAAGGGUGCGUAACGCGUGAGCGACAUGCCCGUUGCCCGGGGACAACCGGUGGAAACGCCGACUAAUCCCCGAUGGGAUAUUGUGCCGCAUGGCACGAUAUUGAAAGUUACGGCGGCGACGGAUUGGCUCGCGUCCGAUUAGCUUGUUGGCGGGGUGACGGCCCACCAAGGCUGCGAUCGGUAGGGGUUCUGAGAGGAAGGCCCCCCACAAUGGGACUGAGACACGGCCCAUACUCCUACGGGAGGCAGCAGUGAGGAAUAUUGGUCAAUGGGCGGAAGCCUGAACCAGCCAUGCCGCGUGCGGGAAGGAGGCCCUAUGGGCUGUGAACCGCUUUUGCCUGGGGGCAAUAAGGGCGUCGCGCACGUCCGAUGAGAGUACCAGGCGAAUAAGCAUCGGCUAACUCCGUGCCAGCAGCCGCGGUAAUACGGGGGAUGCGAGCGUUAUCCGGAUUCAUUGGGUUUAAAGGGUGCGUAGGCUGUGCGUCAAGUCGGGGGUGAAAUUCCGGUGCUCAACACCGGGGCUGCCCUUGAUACUGUCGCGCUGGAGUGCGGAUGCCGCCGGAGGAAUGAGUGGUGUAGCGGUGAAAUGCUUAGAUAUCACUCAGAACACCGAUUGCGAAGGCAUCUGGCGAAUCCGUAACUGACGCUGAGGCACGAAAGCGUGGGGAUAGAACAGGAUUAGAUACCCUGGUAGU